ensembl:lncRNA
GCCCCUCAGCCCAGUCCGGGCUCCUGACCUUGGCCUCAGAGGCUCCUCUUGGCCCCUUCAAGGUGGAGGCUCCCGUGGGCCAGCCUGGCUCUAGGCUCAGAAUUUUAAGGUCCAUAGGCCCAACUUCCUUCUGGGCUUCGAGGAGCUGGGGGCCCAGCCAUCUUUACCCCAGCCCCUGCCCAUGUGCUCUAAUCGCCCCUCCAGUGGAACCUUCUUUCUGGGACUGGACUGGCUGCUCAGAGCAUUGACUGGGACAGUGGCCAGCCCGGAGCUCCUGGCAUAGCCAGGGCCUCUCUGUGCCGCACCCCUGCCAGGGCGUGGGUCUGGUGCCAGCCUCUGCCAGCUGAUGCUGUGUCUGGCCACCUCUGCCAUCCUGCUCGCCAUGGAUCACAUCGAGGGGCCACAGCCAGACACCGGGACUAACACCCCCAGCCCUGCCGGCUCCACGCUGGCCCACCUGGGUGUCACCCACCUUUCUGCAGGUGAAAAUCCCCUCUCCCACGCCCCCAUCUCUUUCUGCCCAGCCUGUAAUUGCUGGGAAGGGCAGCAGGACUUUGCCUUGGAGCUGCUGGGGAGUCCCUCAUCUCGGGCUCCUUCCCACCCUCAGCAGCUGGGCUCGCUGGCACCGUCACCCGCACUCCUGCUACCACACAUUUGGCGUCUGUCCCACUGUUCUGCACAGGCUCCGAGGCACCAAGCCAGGCUGGGAGCAAGAGGUGGGGCAGGGACUCUGGGAAGACAGGAGGGAGGGCAGACGCACUUCCCUCGGAGCCCUGGACCCUAAGGUGCAGCCCUGCAGCCUACGCCUGGGGAGAGCGAGCAACAUCGGGGGACCGUCUGGGGGACUACAGGGAACCAGGCAGAGGGGACCUGGCCCUGGGGGCCCACAGGGCAUCAGGCGGAGGUGAUACGGCCGUGAGACCCCAGAGGGAGGCCAGAGUGCUGCAGCCCCCGUAGGCACCCCAUGCUGGCCCCACCCAGCCCACCCAGCCAAGCUGCCUGGAGGAGCAAGGGUCAAGUCUACCUGGAAACAGGCCCCAGGAUGACACUGGGGGAGCCGGGAGGAGCCGUCCUCUACCAGGCUGGCCCAGACCCCUGGGGGAUUCAGCCCUCCCUGACCCUGCCACGCCCUGUAACCCAGAGCCAGGCCGAGAUCCAGCCCCGGCCUCUGGCACCCGACGCAGAUGCCAGGUGCCCAGCCCCACGAGCCCGCACGCUUUACCUGCACUGCCGCUGCCGGGAUCCACCUGCCCCAGCCGGCCCUCCCCAGCACCUCUGCCAACUGCUGCCGCCUCCCGCCACGGCUGCCAGAGAUCGCGGAAGAAGAAGAGGAAACACGGAUCCGCGUCACGUCACGGAGCCUCCUGAUUGGGCGAACCUUCCCCGGCGGUCCCCUGGGGCACGCGCCAGCCCCGGGCCACCCUGUCCCCUGUCCAGCCCCCGGCCUCCCCCACCGACCUGCCACGGUGACCACACUCAGCUCCCUGCGUCCAGCCCCCGGCCUCCCCCACCGGCCUGCCACAGUGACCACACUCAGCUCCCUGCGUCCAGCCCCCCGCCUCCCCCACCGGCCUGCCACGGUGACCACACUCAGCUCCCUGCGUCCAGCCCCCAGCCUCCCC